AACAAGGCGUACCUGCGGACCUGCGGAAGGAUCAUUACAGAGUUCAUGCCCUCACGGGUAGAUCUCCCACCCUUGAAUACUAUACCUUUGUUGCUUUGGCGGGCCGCUUUGGCUACUGGCUCUGGCUAGUAAGUGCCCGCCAAAGAACCCCAAAACUCUGAAUAUUAGUGUCGUCUGAGUACUAUAUAAUAGUUAAAACUUUCAGCAACGGAUCU
rnacentral:misc_RNA from 1 species